UUGCAGCACGGUGUGCAAGCUGAGCACAGGAACCAGAGCUGCUGGUUGGGUCUGGGCUAUGUUUGGGCUGAAAUGAUUUGAUUUUGAAGGUGUGGAUAGUUCUGCAGAAGAGAAAAGGGAGUCCUGCAGACAGAAAACUGGGAAAACCUGGGUCAGAGAGGACUUCUGGAACCAGCCUUCUGCCCAGCUUAAGAGAAGAGUUCUCCUGGGCUUCUUCUCAAACCAGCACCUAGAAACUAAAGACAGGCCGACUGUUUUUUUUGUUUUGUCAGAAGAUGAAGUUUUACACAUAAAUUGAUCAUCCUGAAUCUUCCAAGGAUAGCACAGAUGAUCCUGCACGAGUAGGAGAAAUAAGAAUAUGAUUGCAACACUGAGAAGAAUUCCUAUGGUGUAAUAUUGCAGGAGGUUACAAGCAAUUGGACUUUACUGGAAGGAGGGAGCAGGAAGAGUGAUAAAGAGUCCUUCUGAGUAAGCAAAAAUUAUAAUCAAGCCUAUAAUAAAUUUGUAAACUUCAUAUAGAAUUUAAUUCAAGU